GAGUUUGAUCCUGGCUCAGGAUGAACGCUAGCGGCAGGCUUAACACAUGCAAGUCGAGGGGUAUAGUUCUUCGGAAUUAGAGACCGGCGCACGGGUGCGUAACGCGUAUGCAAUCUACCUUUCACAGAGGGAUAGCCCAGAGAAAUUUGGAUUAAUACCUCAUAGUAUUAUGGAAUGGCAUCAUUUUAUAAUUAAAGUCACAACGGUGAAAGAUGAGCAUUCGUCCCAUUAGCUAGUUGGUAAGGUAACGGCUUACCAAGGCUACGAUGGGUAGGGGUCCUGAGAGGGAGAUCCCCCACACUGGUACUGAGACACGGACCAGACUCCUACGGGAGGCAGCAGUGAGGAAU
rnacentral:rRNA from 1 species